UGCCAGCAGCCGCGGUAAUACGUAGGGCGCAAGCGUUGUCCGGAAUUAUUGGGCGUAAAGAGCUCGUAGGCGGCUUGUCACGUCGAUUGUGAAAGCCCGAGGCUUAACCUCGGGUCUGCAGUCGAUACGGGCUAGCUAGAGUGUGGUAGGGGAGAUCGGAAUUCCUGGUGUAGCGGUGAAAUGCGCAGAUAUCAGGAGGAACACCGGUGGCGAAGGCGGAUCUCUGGGCCAUUACUGACGCUGAGGAGCGAAAGCGUGGGGAGCGAACAGGAUUAGAUACCCUGGUAGUCCACGCCGUAAACGGUGGGAACUAGGUGUUGGCGACAUUCCACGUCGUCGGUGCCGCAGCUAACGCAUUAAGUUCCCCGCCUGGGGAGUACGGCCGCAAGGCUAAAACUUAAAGGAAUUGGCGGGGGA
rnacentral:rRNA from 1 species